GAUGAACGCUGGCGGUGUGCCUAAUACAUGCAAGUCGAGCGAACAGACGAGGAGCUUACCCCUCUGACGUUAGCGGCGGACGGGUGAGUAACACGUGGAUAACCUACCUAUAAGACUGGGAUAACUUCGGGAAACCGGAGCUAAUACCGGAUAACAUGUUGAACCGCAUGGUUCAACAGUGAAAGACGGUCUUGCUGUCACUUAUAGAUGGAUCCGCGUCGCAUUAGCUGGUUGGUAAGGUAACGGCUUACCAAGGCAACGAUGCGUAGCCGACCUGAGAGGGUGAUCGGCCACACUGGAACUGAGACACGGUCCAGACUCCUACGGGAGGCAGCAGUAGGGAAUCUUCCGCAAUGGGCGAAAGCCUGACGGAGCAACGCCGCGUGAGUGAAGAAGGUCUUCGGAUCGUAAAACUCUGUUAUUAGGGAAGAACAAAUGUGUAAGUAACUAUGCACGUCUUGACGGUACCUAAUCAGAAAGCCACGGCUAACUACGUG
rnacentral:rRNA from 1 species